GAUGAACGCUGGCGGCGUGCUUAACACAUGCAAGUCGAACGGAACUACUCCAAUGAGAGUCUUCGGAAAGGAUUUGGUUUAGUUUAGUGGCGGACGGGGGAGUAACGCGUGGGUAACCUGCCCUAUAAAGGGGGAUAACAGUUGGAAACGACUGUUAAUACCGAAUAAGCGCACAGGAGCGCAUGCUCCGGUGGGAAAAACUCCGGUGGUAUAGGAUGGACCCGCGUCUGAUUAGCUGGUUGGCGGGGUAACGGCCCACCAAGGCGACGAUCAGUAGCCGGCCUGAGAGGGUGAACGGCCACAUUGGGACUGAGACACGGCCCAAACUCCUACGGGAGGCAGCAGUGGGGAAUAUUGCACAAUGGGGGAAACCCUGAUGCAGCGACGCCGCGUGAGCGAAGAAGUAUCUCGGUAUGUAAAGCUCUAUCAGCAGGGAAGAAAAUGACGGUACCUGACUAAGAAGCCCCGGCUAACUACGUG
rnacentral:rRNA from 1 species